UACAGAGGGUGCGAGUGUUAAUCGGAAUUACUGGGCGUAAAGCGUGCGUAGACGGUCUUGUAAGUCGGGUGUGAAAUCCCCGGGCUCAACCUGGGAAUUGCAUUCGAGACUGCAAGGCUUGGGUGCGGAAGAGGGAAGCGGAAUUUCCGGUGUAGCGGUGAAAUGCGUAGAUAUCGGAAGGAACAUCAGUGGCGAAAGCGGCUUCCUGGUCCAGCACCGACGUUCAGGCACGAAAGCGUGGGGAGCAAACAGG
rnacentral:rRNA from 1 species